GAUGAACGCUGGCGGCGUGCCUAAUACAUGCAAGUCGAGCGAACAGACGAGGAGCUUGCUCCUCUGACGUUAGCGGCGGACGGGUGAGUAACACGUGGAUAACCUACCUAUAAGACUGGGAUAACUUCGGGAAACCGGAGCUAAUACCGGAUAAUAUAUUGAACCGCAUGGUUCAAUAGUGAAAGACGGUUUUGCUGUAACUUAUAGAUGGAUCCGCGCCGCAUUAGCUAGUUGGUAAGGUAACGGCUUACCAAGGCAACGAUGCGUAGCCGACCUGAGAGAGUGAUCGGCCACACUGGAACUGAGACACGGUCCAGACUCCUGCGGUAGGCAGCAGUAGGGAAUCUUCCGCAAUGGGCGAAAGCCUGACGGAGCAACGCCGCGUGAGUGAUGAAGGUCUUCGGAUCGUAAAACUCUGUUAUUAGGGAAGAACAAAUGUGUAAGUAACUAUGCACGUCUUGACGGUACCUAAUCAGAAAGCCACGGCUAACUACGUG
rnacentral:rRNA from 1 species